rnacentral:rRNA from 1 species
UACGUAGGGUGCAAGCGUUAAUCGGAAUUACUGGGCGUAAAGCGUGCGCAGGCGGUUUUGUAAGACAGUCGUGAAAUCCCCGGGCUCAAACUGGGAAUUGCGAUUGUGACUGCAAGGCUGGAGUGCGGCAGAGGGGGAUGGAAUUCCGCGUGUAGCAGUGAAAUGCGUAGAUAUGCGGAGGAACACCGAUGGCGAAGGCAAUCCCCUGGGCCUGCACUGACGCUCAUGCACGAAAGCGUGGGGAGCAAACAGG